CAUGCUUUAAAAUAUAAACAUAUAUAUAUUUGGUACGAAAUAUUUACCAGAUGGCGCAUUGUCAUUCUUAUCGCAGUUAUUGUUGAGGCCAGUUAGGAUCCGCAUGUGAUAACGAAGUUUUGUCGUCUCGUAAUUAUAGGUUAUUAAGAUUUUUUUUUCUAAGUUACAAAUUCGUCCAAUAUAGACAAUCGAUCGUCAUACAUGAGAUUUCUACGAUAUAAUGUUCGCAAGUUAUGAAAAUGUUGCGUUUUAGAGAUAUUCACGAAAAUAAUAUUGUUGUCUACAUAUCCACCGCCGUGCUAUUACUCUUUAUUUUUUCUCGAUUUUUCGUCCCUUAUUUUCGCGAUGUGUGUGCUUCUUAAAAUAAUUUAUUCUUAUGAUAUAAUACAUAAAAUUCUACGAAUCAACGAAGUUGGAAAUACAAAGCACAGUGAAGGUCAUGUGUUAUAUUUUGUUGUAUUUCUUAUGUAGCCGAGCUAAAUGUCCGGUAAAAAAAAAGAUUAAGUUUGUUUGAUAUAUGAAGAUUAUGGUGUCAUUGUUCGUGCAGCCAUAGAUGAAUCGAUCUUUGUUUCGAUAAAAUAAAGAAGGAAUUGUGAAGUAGAUUUGUUGUUAAUGUUUUUCGGUUAAUUUAAAUUUGUUUGCAUUUUAUGAUGUUAAAAACUUUUAGGAAUAUGUCUGUAUGAAUAAUUUUGGUGCAAAACAGUCAUAGAAUCAAUAUUUGUUCGUAUAGAAUUUUAUUUUUCUUUUUUUCUACAAUCAGAUAUACUGUAUAUAUAAAACAAGCAAUAGAUAUUAUAUAUAACUUAUAUAUAAAACAAACAAUAGAUAUUUGCGAAAUAAAUUCAUUGUUUGCCUCUUACUUAUUAAAUAAUUAUUGCAUAUUUGAGUCAGUGAAUCAUGGAAGAUGAUCAAGGAUGUAGUACACUUCCAUAGAAAAAUAUUGACUUACAUUGCCAUUAAGUCAAUGUAUUACAAAUUCAAUCUAAUUACUUUUUCAUCUACGUUGAUUUAUUUAAUUUUGGACCUAUUGCGGAACAGCUUACAUAAAUUUCGAGCUACAACUGGUCGAUGUUUUGGAGCUAUUGUGGAUUUUCUUAAGCAAGUCUUAACCCCCUUGGUCUACACGCUAGCUUCCGAUUGCGCGGGCCAUAGUAAACAAGAAGGUCGGUCGCGGGCCGAGCCAUUCAACUAUUCUGCCGUGUGCUCGAACUUGCGCAAAAUGUAUACUUCUUAUGACAUGUAUAUUUCAGCGCAACAAAAGGAAUUAUGAAAUAAUGAAUAACGUUUGGGCGCAACUAGUACUUUUAAGCAAUCUUGGGCGUAAUCCUGAUCAAUUCGUCAGUGAACAAAAAUAAUUUAUUAUUUCAAAGCGGAUAAUGAAUCAAUAACAAUUCUAGCAAUAACAAUAACAUGAUUCAAUAACAAUUUUUUGUUCUUUUGGACAAUAAUAUCCCAAAAAACAUUGUCAUACAUUUUAAAAAAGUCUAAGUCUCUAUUAUUUUUACCUAACUGGUCUAAAAUUGGUGUUCUUAUGCCAGGAGUUUGCAUAUACUCCCAGAUUUUUGGGUCGUUAUUUUUCUCUUCCCAAAACUAUGAUUCCGAUAAUUAUUGAUAAAUGCUAUUUUCUUCGUCGGAGACAUUUUCAAUGAUUAAUUUUCGUGAACGUUUUCUUACAGGAAGCACAAUAUCACUGUCCUCACUAUCAUUAUCAAAAUGAUCGAACCACAAUCCGUAAUAACACUUCUCUCCAAUAUCAUCAACAUUAGAUUUUUUUUGCUGACAUGAUGUGUAUAAGGAAUGUUUUAUUUCUUCUAGAGAAUAUAUUUGGAAACGUCUUAAUGCAAUGAAAGUUUAACCCUUUGCAUUCCGCUGUCCCUUCUCAUGGGACAUCGUAAUUCUAGCAUAUUACUCGGAUGUCCCCUCUCGUGGGACAUUAAAUUUGAUUAGUGACUACAGGUAAUUGAGUUAUUUCAGCGCAACUUUUUGAGACAUGCAUGCUUCUCUGAAGUUAUCUCUUGAAAUGGCACAAGAAAUCAAAUCAAAAUAUAGUAAAAUUGCUAAGAUAUAUACAAAAAAAUGUCUGCGAGUUUUGUGUCAUACGAGAACGCGAUAAGCGUGCUUACUACGGCCCGAGCACUUCAAAGGCGCCACUUGAAAAGAGCGAUAAUGCAAGUUUGUAGAAGAAAGAUCGGUAUUCAAACAUAGCACGCACUGUAUAGUGAGAUUUAUAAUCAUAAAUAAGCAAGUCUAAAUCUGGAGAAAAAGAUUUCUAAAGCUGAACUCAGUCUAGUUUGAAGUGUCGCCCGGUAUAGAUAGAUCUAACGAGUGAGAAAAUCGGAAAAGUGAUUCUUCUCUUGGUAAAUAAAUUGUUUGGUAAAAGUUUUUUUGAACAAUGGCAAAACGUUCAAACACGAAUGAGUCUCAUGACACAAGUAGUAGUGAAGAUGAGUUCCAGAUAGACGUUUAUACAGAUAUGUUAGAAAGACUAACUGUAGAAGAAAACGAUAGCAGUGAUAGUGAUAUCGUCCAAGCAACAAGGCGACGAAGAGACUGCAUAGAUAGCGAUAGCGAUGAAACUGAUACGGAAAUAAAUACACCGCAACAUGACGGAUUUUUUGGAGGUUGGAAAUGUGUGUCAUUAACUCAUACAUAAUUUAUCGUAUCUCAAAACAAACAAAUAAUGAAACUCCAAUGACGCACCACAAGUUUGUCAAAGCAGUCACUGACCAGUUGAGGGAUGAUUUUCGUGAAUCGAGAACGCGUCCAUCCACAUCUUCUGCGACAAAUAGAUUAGAGAAUAAACUACAUAUUCCUAACAUGGGACAAAGAAAACGGGAUUGAAUUGUUUGUUCUGAUAGGAAAACACCUGGUGGCAGGUGUCAAACAACUUAUUAUUGUCAAACGUGCACUAAUCAGCCUGCAAUGCAUUUUGGGGAAUGUUUUAAAGUUUAUCACACUGUACAAAAUCAUAACCAAAAAAAUAUUGAUUUUUUUGCAAAUAUACAUUUCUCGAUUUCAAUCAAUUCAUAUAAGUCCAAUAUCUUUAUAAUAUGUUAGUUAGUUCCAAAACCAUACUAAAUAAUACGAGGGUCUGUAAAUGCACGUUUUUGCCACAAAGUAGCGCUGAGUAGCUGGUAGCUUGAUAAUCAAGGGUCUCUGGGCACAAAGAAAGACAACUUAAGGAAUAAAUUUUUACUGGCGGAUUAUACAUUUUGGUAAGUCAAAAGAGACUUCAACAAACCAUCUUGAUGGCAACAGUGGACAGUUUCUGUGAUACCAGACAUUUUUAUAAAAAGGAAUAAAUUAUUACUUUCAACCCCGAGCUGCCAAAACGAGAGGAGUUUGCGAGGUCGGAGUAAAUGGUUUCAAUCUUUAGCCUGACCGCAUCAACAGCUCAAGUAAUUUAAGUUUUCUUUAUUCGUCCGACCAUCUGGGACGUAACAUAACUAUAUAGAGAUGAUAGUAAUAAAAUUUUUGGUGGCAGCGGUGGGAUUGAAAAGCCUCCUAGGAGAAUUUCUGUCCUAACUACCUUUUCGGCACGUUUUUAAUUUUAUUUACAUUUUAAUAUUAUAAUAAUGGCUAACAUACAGAAAUCCUCUUCCGCUGCUAAGGCUCCUCUCACUGAGGAAGAGCUUAGGCUAUACGAGGAAAAACUAGAUGAGCGCGAGACUCGAAUAGAAAUUUCUUUGGAAGAGAAUACCGCCUUAGAACAAAGAAUAAAACGAUUGGAAAGGAAAAUAAAAGAACACGAAAAUGAAUUAAUGAAUCAAGAAGCAGAAAUUCGAGAACGUAUAAGUGCGGUAGAAAAAUGCGAAAAGGAAAUAGGAAUCCAGAACGCGAAAAUCAGUGAUCGACAAAUGGAACAGAACAAACAAGAAUUAGAUUUAGAAAGAAAAGAGAUAAUGCUUCAACGCCGUGAAAAUGUACUUCGUAAUAAAGAAGUUGAUCAAUAGGAAUCGAUGAUGAACAUGUCAUUAGGAAAUAAUCGUGCGGGAAGUCGGUACUCGUCACGCAACAGUUUAAACCGAUGGAAAUUCAAUCGAUUAUAGAAGACGGAGCCCGUCGCUAAGGGUAAACAACAUGGAAAGAAGAAACUCAACUUCCAGUAACCAAGGAAACCCGACAAGCGGCCCGUCGAAAUCCGACAGGAGCGGGGUCACCACGAAAAAAGGCUCAGGGACGAACGAAUAUGCAGGUGACUCAAUCAAGCAGAUCGCAAUCGUAAAUUUCAAGCUAACGACAAAGGCACCUUUCGAUAUGAACAUCGAAAACCUCGGGAGCAACAUCAAAUUGAUGAUUGACACCGGCGCAGAAGUCAAUAUCAUUAACGAAGGUGCUAUCGAAUCGAACACAGACAUCGACAAUGAAGAUGUAAUAAAGGGCAUUACGAAUGACCAUAUUCAAACAGAGGAUUAAUUGGCCGUUUACCUCUUUGGGAAAUUAGUGCGAUUCUACGUGGUGGCGUUGACCUUCCCGAUCGAACAGGACGGUAUCUUGGGAAGCGAAUUUUUGAAAUCGGUCAGUGUUGACGUCAGGUACACACAGCAUGCGUGAAAGUCGCAAACGAGGAAGUGCCGUUCGUAAACAGACAGAUAGUGCACGUACCAGCAAGGACAAGUACUGUGUCAAGUUACUGAAUUACUCAAUCAUCGAACGCAAACUUUUAGCCAUAGUCUACGCAGUGCAUUACUUUAGGCCGUAUUUGUACGGAAGUGAGUUCACACUGGUGAUGGAUCAUCGUCCACUAGUGUGGCUCAAAUCACAUAAGGAUCCGACUUCGCAUCUGACCAAAUGGGGUUUAAAACUUGCGGAGUAUAAUUUUAACACCUGGCAUGCGGGUAUACUUCGCCGCCAACUUACACGUGCAGCGGGCGUUUUUUCGUGAAUCGCGCGGAAGUUUAGUUAUUCAGAAAAACCGCAGUAAAUCAAAAACCUUCGUUUUUAUGAACGAAACUUUUUUUAUUUUACACUUAAAUAUAUACUGUAUGAUUAUUUAACAAAAAAAAACGAUAUUUUUACGAAAUCACAAAAAUAAACAAUUUUUAAAAUUGUACAAUGUAUUCAAAAAUAUUUUUUCAUGACAAGUACAAAUAGAACUGAUAACACGUUAAUAGUUCUUUACGGUAUGGUACCAUUCGUAGCAUUUUCCUCUGUGAAGAGGAACACGGCAGAAGUUACAUAUGAAACACGUUUCAGUUCGCACUUUUUUGGCUGCGCACACGCGACAUCGUCUUUGUGGAUUUUUCUUCUUCCCGACACCAACAAUUUUCUCCAAUAUGUGUUUGCGCAUAUCCAUGGAUAAUCUUCCAGCAGGGUCGCGUUUUGAUAUCAUUUACUCUGGUUCUUCAGUGCUGAUUUCAGGUAGUUCAUCAGUAACCCAAUGUGCGAUGUCGUGCAAAAAUUUCU